CAGCAGCACCCCCCUUCACCUUCUCCUCCCCUCUUCCUCCCAUCACUUUCUGUAGGUGUGUGUGUAUGUGUGUGUGUGUGUGUGUGUCUACAUGAGGGGCUGGGGUGAGAAGGAAGGAGUUAGGAGGUGGCGGUAGGAGUUACUCAGCAGAUUUUCACCCGUGUAAGAGAAAAAAAAAGAGGCCACUGCCUGUGAGAAGAAGCAGACACAAGAUUAAGGAAGACAGGCAAAAAGAGAGGACUGAGGAAACCUUUUCAAGUAAAGCUGCUGAGAUAAGAACACAUUGCAGUUUCUCCUCUCGCCUAUUUCGCUGGAGUAUCAAC
ensembl:lncRNA